UUGCGCCUACAUCACGUUGAAACAUCGGUUCUCGUACGAUUACUGAAGUUAAGCAAAGUCGAGCCUGGUCUGUACCUAGAUGGGUGACCGCUUUAGAAUAACAGGUGCUGUAAG